rnacentral:lncRNA from 1 species
AGACCAAAAGCACCACAGCACAAGGACUUCCCUUGAAUGCAAAGAACAGAUCUGGAGAAGGCACUCUAGAGAAGAUGUAGACAUUUUUUGACAAGGCUCCUCCCAAGAAGCCAAGGUGUCAAGGAACGCCUCAGACAAAGUUGACAAGAUUCAAAAGUGGUUUGGGUAAAAGAGACUCAAUCCUAGAGGGGCAUUUGAUUCCAAAAGGGAAGAAGACGUACUUCAUCUGGAACAUCGUGAAGUCACAGAAGAACUUCACAAGUGUUCCGAUCGGAAGGGAGCCCUUUGAGUAAGUGAAAUGAAGCGUGAAUAACUGCCUAAUUAGUGGACAUGAAAACUGGACAGUCUCCAAAGUCAUCAGAGAUGACCACGCUUGCCAGGCAACUUACUAGACUAAGGGUGACGUGCCCAUCAUGCAGGAAGCUUCUCCAAGGCUGGCGAGAGCAACUUGUCUGCUUUGAGAAAUGCAGAUCUAUCAGGAUCCAGAAUCGGACUCUGAAAAAGCUGUCAUUUCAUGUCUCUAAAACAGCCUUUGAUUUAAUGUACAAGAUGUCAAGAAGUAAAGGACAAUAAAAUAAAAACCAAAAAAGGAGAACUAUUUCAAUUAAGAAGCAUUCCUAUAUCAAUUCUUGGAAAUCACAUAAAAUAAAAGCUGUCAGAAUCAA